GCAGGCUUAACACAUGCAAGUCGAGGGGCAUCAGGACGUAAGCUUGCUUUCUUUGCUGGCGACCGGCGCACGGGUGAGUAACACGUAUCCAACCUGCCCUUUACUCGGGGAUAGCCUUUCGAAAGAAAGAUUAAUACCCGAUAGCAUAAUGAUUCCGCAUGGUUUCAUUAUUAAAGGAUUCCGGUAAAGGAUGGGGAUGCGUUCCAUUAGGUUGUUGGUGAGGUAACGGCUCACCAAGCCUUCGAUGGAUAGGGGUUCUGAGAGGAAGGUCCCCCACAUUGGAACUGAGACACGGUCCAAACUCCUACGGGAGGCAGCAGUGAGGAAUAUUGGUCAAUGGGCGCUAGCCUGAACCAGCCAAGUAGCGUGAAGGAUGAAGGCUCUAUGGGUCGUAAACUUCUUUUAUAUAAGAAUAAAGUGCAGUAUGUAUACUGUUUUGUAUGUAUUAUAUGAAUAAGGAUCGGCUAACUCCGUGCCAGCAGCCGCGGUAAUACGGAGGAUCCGAGCGUUAUCCGGAUUUAUUGGGUUUAAAGGGAGCGUAGGUGGACUGGUAAGUCAGUUGUGAAAGUUUGCGGCUCAACCGUAAAAUUGCAGUUGAUACUGUCAGUCUUGAGUACAGUAGAGGUGGGCGGAAUUCGUGGUGUAGCGGUGAAAUGCUUAGAUAUCACGAAGAACUCCGAUUGCGAAGGCAGCUCACUGGACUGCAACUGACACUGAUGCUCGAAAGUGUGGGUAUCAAACAGGAUUAGAUACCCUGGUAGUCCACACAGUAAACGAUGAAUACUCGCUGUUUGCGAUAUACAGUAAGCGGCCAAGCGAAAGCAUUAAGUAUUCCACCUGGGGAGUACGCCGGCAACGGUGAAACUCAAAGGAAUUGACGGGGGCCCGCACAAGCGGAGGAACAUGUGGUUUAAUUCGAUGAUACGCGAGGAACCUUACCCGGGCUUAAAUUGCAGUGGAAUGAUGUGGAAACAUGUCAGUGAGCAAUCACCGCUGUGAAGGUGCUGCAUGGUUGUCGUCAGCUCGUGCCGUGAGGUGUCGGCUUAAGUGCCAUAACGAGCGCAACCCUUAUCUUUAGUUACUAACAGGUCAUGCUGAGGACUCUAGAGAGACUGCCGUCGUAAGAUGUGAGGAAGGUGGGGAUGACGUCAAAUCAGCACGGCCCUUACGUCCGGGGCUACACACGUGUUACAAUGGGGGGUACAGAAGGCAGCUAGCGGGUGACCGUAUGCUAAUCCCAAAAGCCUCUCUCAGUUCGGAUCGAAGUCUGCAACCCGACUUCGUGAAGCUGGAUUCGCUAGUAAUCGCGCAUCAGCCACGGCGCGGUGAAUACGUUCCCGGGCCUUGUACACACCGCCCGUCAAGCCAUGGGAGCCGGGGGUACCUGAAGUACGUAACCGCAAGGAUCGUCCUAAGGUAAAACUGGUAAUUGG
rnacentral:rRNA from 1 species